rnacentral:rRNA from 1 species
AUUGAACGCUGGCGGCAGGCCUAACACCUGCAAGUCGAACGAGUGGCGGACGGGUGAGUAAUGUCUGGGAAACUGCCUGCUGGCGGGGGAUAACUACUGGAAACGGUAGCUAAUACCGCAUACCAUCGGAUGUGCCCAGAUGGGAUUAGCUAGGAGGUGGGGUAAAGGCUCACCUAGGCGACGAUCCCUAGCCGGUCUGAGAGGAUGACCAGCCACACUGGAACUGAGACACGGUCCAGACUCCUACGGGAGGCAGCCGUGGGAAUUAUUGCACAAUGGGCGCAAGCCUGAUGCAGCCAUGCCGCGUGUAUGAAGAAGGCCUUCGGGUUGUAAAGUACUUUCAGCGGGGAGGCGUUACCCGCAGAAGAAGCACCGGCUAACUCCGUGCCAGCAGCCGCGGUAAUAC